rnacentral:rRNA from 1 species
ACGAACGCUGGCGGCGUGCUUAACACAUGCAAGUCGCACGGAAAGGCCCUGCUUUUGUGGGGUGCUCGAGUGGCGAACGGGUGAGUAACACGUGAGUAACCUGCCCUUGACUUUGGGAUAACUUCAGGAAACUGGGGCUAAUACCGGAUAGGAGCUCCUGCUGCAUGGUGGGGGUUGGAAAGUUUCGGCGGUUGGGGAUGGACUCGCGGCUUAUCAGCUUGUUGGUGGGGUAGUGGCUUACCAAGGCUUUGACGGGUAGCCGGCCUGAGAGGGUGACCGGCCAAAUUGGAACUAGGAACCGGCCCAGACCCCUCCGGGGGGCAGCGGUGGGGAAUAUUCCACAAGGGGGGGAAGCCGGUGGCAGCAACGCCGGGUGGGGGAGGGCGGCCUUGGGGUUGUAAACCCCUUUCCCCUGUGACGAGGCGGGAGUGACGGUAAUGGGUAAAGAAGCACCGGCUAACUACGU